rnacentral:rRNA from 1 species
UACGUAGGGGGCAAGCGUUGUCCGGAUUUAUUGGGCGUAAAGAGCGUGUAGGCGGCCAUGUAGGUCCGUUGUGAAAACUCGAGGCUCAACCUCGAGACGCCGAUGGAAACCAUGUGGCUAGAGUCCGGAAGAGGAGAGUGGAAUUCCUGGUGUAGCGGUGAAAUGCGUAGAUAUUGGGAGGAACACCAGUGGCGAAGGCGGCUCACUGGACUGGUACUGACGCUGAGGCGCGAAGGCGUGGGGAGCGAACGGG